rnacentral:rRNA from 1 species
CGGCAUACAGAGGGAGGCGAAGGGGUGACCCGGAGCAGACCCCAGAAAAGGCGCCCCAGUUCGGAUCGCAGCCUGCAACCCGGCUGCGUGAAGCUGGAAUCGCUAGUAAUCGCGGAUCAGAAUGCCGCGGUGAAUACGUUCCCGGGUCUUGUACACACCGCCCGUCACACCAUGGGAGCCGGAAACGCCCGAAGUCUGUGACCGAACCCGAAAGGGGAGGGGCAGCCGAAGGCAGGCCCGGUGACUGGGGUGAAGUCGUAACAAGGUAUC